CCUACGGGAGGCAGCAGUAAGGAAUAUUGGACAAUGGUCGGAAGACUGAUCCAGCCAUGCCGCGUGCAGGAAGAAGGCGCUCUGCGUUGUAAACUGCUUUUGGACAGGAACAAAACUACCCGUGCGCGGGUAUCUGAGGGUACUGUCAGAAUAAGCACCGGCUAACUCCGUGCCAGCAGCCGCGGUAAUACGGAGGGUGCAAGCGUUAUCCGGAAUCACUGGGUUUAAAGGGUGCGUAGGCGGUAGAAUAAGUCAGUCGUGAAAUCGCUGGGCUUAACCCAUGCAACUGCGAUUGAUACUGUUUUACUUGAAUGAGGUUGAGGUAGGCGGAAUGUGGCAUGUAGCGGUGAAAUGCUUAGAUAUGCCAUAGAACACCGAUUGCGAAGGCAGCUUGCUGGACCUGAAUUGACGCUGAGCACGAAGACGUGGUAGACAACAGAUAGUAUACCUACGUAGUCGACGACCCUAACCGACUAGUUUACUUGUCUCGUUCCGGUCCGU
rnacentral:rRNA from 1 species